GCCAAGGGUAGCUGCAUGCAUGGGUCAUGCAUGUGACUCUUAAUCUCAGGGGCGUGGGUUCGAGUCCCAUGCUGGGUG